rnacentral:rRNA from 1 species
GACGAACGCUGGCGGCGUGCCUAACACAUGCAAGUCGAACGGGAGCGAAGUGCUUCGGUAUUUGCUUUAGUGGCGAACGGGUGAGUAACGCGUGAAUAACCUGCCUUUCAGUGGGGGACAACAGUCGGAAACGACUGCUAAUACCGCAUAAGCCCACAGCUCCGCAUGGAGCAGGGGGAAAAGGAGUGAUCCGCUUUGAGAUGGCCUCGCGUCCGAUUAGCUAGUUGGUGAGGUAACGGCCCACCAAGGCGACGAUCAGUAGCCGACCUGAGAGGGUGAUCGGCCACAUUGGAACUGAGAAACGGUCCAA